rnacentral:lncRNA from 1 species
GUCAAGAGUGUAUUGACGUUCAUAGAUUAUAAAAUUAUUAUGGAUCGCCCAAAGGUUGGUUGGUCAAUUUUAUUAAUCUUGAACAUGAUCGUGGUUAAUUGAUAUACUUAAUUUGAUGUGUUUUGUAUAUCCAAAGAUGACAAACAUGUUUGAUUGGAGUAUGAUUAAUUACCAAUUAAGUGAAAUUUAAUUAGCAUCACUAUGUUUGUUAUGAUGGUAUAACGUAGUAUCACCCAAAGGAGAACUACGGUAUACAUUUAUUGUUGUCCGAAUUUGAACUAAGUGUUUAAGUCAAAACUCAAAGCAUUAAUGUUAGAGCAUUUUAUAUUUUGCAGUAUCUAUUCCCGUUUCUCUGCAUUCGCAUGCUUCAUCUGUACCACUGUUCAAUGGGCUCAAUUUCUCUGACUGGUGUGAACAAGUCCAGUUCAACUUAGGUGUUUUGGAUUUGGACUUGGCACUUCAAGUUGAGAAACCUGCUGAUCUCACUGAUGAGAGCAGUGCUGAUGAAAAAUCUUUCCAUAAGGCUUGGGAAAGGUCUAACAGAUUAAGCCUAAUGUUUAUGCGAAUGACCUUGGCAAAGAAUAUCAAGUCUACUAUCCCUAAAACUGAGAGCGCCAAGGAAUAUAUGAAGUUUGUGGAAGAACGUUCCCAAAUAGUUGACAAAUCGCUUGCUGGCACACUGAUGGGUACAUUAACCACCAUGAAAUUUGAUGGUUCUCUUACCAUGCAUGAGCACGUUACUGAAAUGAGUAACAUUGCAGCAAGACUUAAGACUCUUGGGAUGACUGUGGAUGAGAA